GUGCCAGCAGCCGCGGUAAUACGGAGGGGGCUAGCGUUGUUCGGAAUUACUGGGCGUAAAGCGCACGUAGGCGGACCAGAAAGUUGGGGGUGAAAUCCCGGGGCUCAACCUCGGAACUGCCUUCAAAACUAUUGGUCUUGAGUUCGAGAGAGGUGAGUGGAAUUCCGAGUGUAGAGGUGAAAUUCGUAGAUAUUCGGAGGAACACCAGUGGCGAAGGCGGCUCACUGGCUCGAUACUGACGCUGAGGUGCGAAAGCGUGGGGAGCAAAC
rnacentral:rRNA from 1 species